GACGGAGGAUGCAAGCGUUAUCCGGAAUGAUUGGGCGUAAAGCGUCCGCAGGUGGCAGUUCAAGUCUGCUGUCAAAGACCGGGGCUUAACUUCGGAAAGGCAGUGGAAACUGAACAGCUAGAGUAUGGUAGGGGCAGAGGGAAUUCCUGGUGUAGCGGUGAAAUGCGUAGAGAUCAGGAAGAACAUCGGUGGCGAAGGCGACGUCCUGGACCGGCAUUGACGCUGAGGCGCGAAAGCCAGGGGAGCAAACGGG
rnacentral:rRNA from 1 species